rnacentral:rRNA from 1 species
AACGAACGCUGGCGGCAGGCUUAACACAUGCAAGUCGAGCGCCCCGCAAGGGGAGCGGCAGACGGGUGAGUAACGCGUGGGAAUCUACCCAUCUCUACGGAAUAACUCAGGGAAACUUGUGCUAAUACCGUAUACGCCCUUCGGGGGAAAGAUUUAUCGGAGAUGGAUGAGCCCGUGUUGGAUUAGCUAGUUGGUGGGGUAAAGGCCUACCAAGGCGGCGAUCCAUAGCUGGUCUGAGAGGAUGAUCAGCCACAUUGGGACUGAGACACGGCCCAAACUCCUACGGGAGGCAGCAGUGGGGAAUAUUGGACAAUGGGCGCAAGCCUGAUCCAGCCAUGCCGCGUGAGUGAUGAAGGCCUUAGGGUUGUAAAGCUCUUUCACCGGAGAAGAUAAUGACGGUAUCCGGAGAAGAAGCCCCGGCUAACUUCGUGCCAGCAGCCGCCGUAACAC